GCAUAUCAAUAAACGGAGGAAAAGAAACCAACAGGGAUUGCCUCAGUAACGGCGAGUGAAGCGGCAAAAGCUCAAAUUUGAAAUCUAGCACCUUCGGUGUUCGAGUUGUAAUUUGAAGAUGGUAACCUUGGGUUUGGCUCUUGUCUAUGUUCCUUGGAACAGGACGUCAUAGAGGGUGAGAAUCCCGUCUGAUGAGAUGCCCAUUCCUAUGUAAGGUGCUAUCGAAGAGUCGAGUUGUUUGGGAAUGCAGCUCUAAGUGGGUGGUAAAUUCCAUCUAAAGCUAAAUAUUGGCGAGAGACCGAUAGCGAACAAGUACAGUGAUGGAAAGAUGAAAAGAACUUUGAAAAGAGAGUGAAAAAGUACGUGAAAUUGUUGAAAGGGAAGGGCAUUAGAUCAGACUUGGUGUUUUACGAUUAUCUUCUCUUCUUGAGUUGUGCACUCGUAUUUCACUGGGCCAGCAUCGAUUCGGAUGGCAAGAUAAUGGCAGUUGAAUGUGGCUUCACUUCGGUGGAGUGUUAUAGCUUCUGCUGAUAUUGCCUGUCUGGAUCGAGGGCUGCGUCUUUUGACUAGGAUGCUGGCGUAAUGAUCUAAUGCCGCCCGUCUUGAAACACGGACC
rnacentral:rRNA from 1 species